rnacentral:rRNA from 1 species
AGAGUUUGAUCCUGGCUCAGAACGAACGCUGGCGGCGUGGAUAAGACAUGCAAGUCGGACGAGACUUUUCGUUGUAGCAAUACGAUGGAAAGUUUAGUGGCGAACGGGUGCUUAACACGUGGGCAACCUGCCAGGAAGUGGGGGAUAGCUCGCCGAAAGGCGAAUUAAUACCGCAUGUGAUUAGAGAGGACAUCCUUUCGAAAUUAAAGUCGGGGCAACCUGACGCUUCUUGUGGGGCCCGCGGCCUAUCAGCUAGUUGGUGAGGUAACGGCCCACCAAGGCUUUGACGGGUAGCUGGUCUGAGAGGACGACCAGCCACACUGGGACUGAGACACGGCCCAGACACCUACGGGUGGCAGCAGUCGAGAAUUUUUGACAAUGGGGGAAACCCUGAUCGAGCGACGCCGCGUGGAGGAUGAAGGUCUUCGGAUUGUAAACUCCUGUCAUUGGGGAACAAUGCACAGAUAUUAACUGUAUUUGUGUUGAUAGUACCCGAAGAGGAAGGGACGGCUAACUCUGUGCCAGCAGCCGCGGUAAUACAGAGGUCUCAAGCGUUGUUCGGAUUCAUUGGGCGUAAAGGGUGCGUAGGCGGCGCGGUAAGUCGGGUGUGAAAUCUCGGGGCUUAACUCCGAAACUGCAUUCGAUACUGCCGUGCUUGAGGACUGGAGAGGAGACUGGAAUUUACGGUGUAGCGGUGAAAUGCGUAGAUAUCGUAAGGAAGACCAGUGGCGAAGGCGGGUCUCUGGACAGUUCCUGACGCUGAGGCACGAAGGUCAGGGGAGCAAACGGGAUUAGAUACCCUAGUAGUCC